rnacentral:rRNA from 1 species
AACGAACGCUGGCGGCAGGCCUAACACAUGCAAGUCGAACGCCCGUAGCAAUACGGGAGUGGCAGACGGGUGAGUAACGCGUGGGAAUCUACCCAGUUCUUCGGAAUAACUGAGGGAAACUUCAGCUAAUACCGGAUACGCCUUCGGGGGAAAGAUUUAUCGGAAUUGGAGGAGCCCGCGUUGGAUUAGCUAGUUGGUGGGGUAAUGGCCUACCAAGGCGACGAUCCAUAGCUGGUCUGAGAGGAUGAUCAGCCACACUGGGACUGAGACACGGCCCAGACUCCUACGGGAGGCAGCAGUGGGGAAUAUUGGACAAUGGGCGAAAGCCUGAUCCAGCCAUGCCGCGUGAGUGAUGAAGGCCUUCGGGUUGUAAAGCUCUUUUAGCGGGGAAGAUAAUGACGGUACCCGCAGAAAAAGCCCCGGCUAACUUCGUGCCAGCAGCCGCGGUAAUACGAAGGGGGCUAGCGUUGUUCGGAUUUACUGGGCGUAAAGCGCGCGUAGGCGGGUCGUUAAGUCGGGGGUGGAAUCCCGAGGCUCAACCUCGGAACUGCCUUCGAUACUGGCGACCUAGAGUCCGGGAGAGGUGUAUGGAACUCCUAGUGUAGAGGUGGAAUUCGUAGAUAUUAGGAAGAACACCGGUGGCGAAGGCGAUACACUGGCCCGGUACUGACGCUGAGGCGCGAAAGCGUGGGGAGCAAACAGGAUUAGAUACCCUGGUAGU